rnacentral:rRNA from 1 species
UACGGAGGAUCCGAGCGUUAUCCGGAUUCAUUGGGUUUAAAGGGUGCGUAGGUUGUUUUAUAAGUUAGCGGUGAAAUACCGAUGCUCAACAUCGGGGCUGCCGCUGAUACUGUAGGACUAGAGAUCGGAUGCAGCAGGCGGAAUGUGUAGUGUAGCGGUGAAAUGCAUAGAUAUUACACAGAACACCGAUUGCGAAGGCAGCUUACCAAACUAUAUCUGACGUUGAGGCACGAAAGCGUGGGUAGCAAACAGG